GACGAACGCUGGCGGCGUGCUUAACACAUGCAAGUCGAACGGAAAGGCCCUGCUUUUGUGGGGUGCUCGAGUGGCGAACGGGUGAGUAACACGUGAGUAACCUGCCCUUGACUUUGGGAUAACUUCAGGAAACUGGGGCUAAUACCGGAUAGGAGCUCCUGCUGCAUGGUGGGGGUUGGAAAGUUUCGGCGGUUGGGGAUGGACUCGCGGCUUAUCAGCUUGUUGGUGGGGUAGUGGCUUACCAAGGCUUUGACGGGUAGCCGGCCUGAGAGGGUGACCGGCCACAUGGGGGUGGGGAUAGGGCCCAGACCCCUAGGGGGGGCAGGGGGGGGGAAUUUUGCAAAAGGGGCGGAGGCCUGAGGCAGCAACCCCGGGGGGGGGAUGACGGCCUUGGGGUUGGAAACCGCUUUCGCCUGGGACGAAGGGGGAGUGGCGGUAAUGGGUAAAGAAGCACCGGCUAACUACGU
rnacentral:rRNA from 1 species